rnacentral:lncRNA from 1 species
GUGCGAUUGUUUUUUUCUUGUUUUUUUUUCGGUUUUGGGGGGGGGGGGGGGUAUUUUUGUAGGCAUAUUAAAAAUAAAUAUGUACAUCUGUUUUUAUGUCAUAUCUCAACCUCCGUAUAUUUGGUUUCCUCGGAAAUGUUUUUACACGAUGUAUUUUCUGGAAAAUACACUGUACUACAAAGACUGUGCAAUGUCUUGAGAGAAAGCGAAAUUCAGAGAGAGAAGCACAUUAAUUUAUUG